rnacentral:rRNA from 1 species
AGAGUUUGAUCUGGCUCAGGAUGAACGCUGGCGGCGUGCCUAACACAUGCAAGUCGAACGAAGCAAUUGAAGGAAGUUUUCGGAUGGAAUUUAAUUGACUGAGUGGCGGACGGGUGAGUAACGCGUGGAUAACCUGCCUCACACUGGGGGAUAACAGUUAGAAAUGACUGCUAAUACCGCAUAAGCGCACAGUACCGCAUGGUACGGUGUGAAAAACUCUGGUGGUGUGAGAUGGAUCCGCGUCUGAUUAGCCAGUUGGCGGGGUAACGGCCCACCAAAGCGACGAUCAGUAGCCGACCUGAGAGGGUGACCGGCCACAUUGGGACUGAGACACGGCCCAAACUCCUACGGGAGGCAGCAGUGGGGAAUAUUGCACAAUGGGCGAAAGCCUGAUGCAGCGACGCCGCGUGAGUGAAGAAGUAUUUCGGUAUGUAAAGCUCUAUCAGCAGGGAAGAAAAUGACGGUACCUGACUAAGAAGCCCCGGCUAACUACGUGCCAGCAGCCGCGGUAAUACGUAGGGGGCAAGCGUUAUCCGGAUUUACUGGGUGUAAAGGGAGCGUAGACGGCGAAGCAAGUCUGAAGUGAAAACCCAGGGCUCAACCCUGGGACUGCUUUGGAAACUGUUUUGCUAGAGUGUCGGAGAGGUAAGUGGAAUUCCUAGUGUAGCGGUGAAAUGCGUAGAUAUUAGGAGGAACACCAGUGGCGAAGGCGGCUUACUGGACGAUAACUGACGUUGAGGCUCGAAAGCGUGGGGAGCAAACAGGAUUAGAUACCCUGGUAGUCCACGCCGUAAACGAUGAA